CAUCACAUGAUGUAAAUCACAAGGAGUGACAUCAGAGAAAAUUCUAUAAAAUCACCAAACUACUCACAGUUUGAUUCUGCUGUAUAGAUGGAUUGCUCCCAGUGUCUCCCUGUCUCUCAGUGUCUCAGUCUCGCAAGUCACCCAGUGUCUCAGUGUCCUUAUGUAUCACAGUGUCAGUGUUCCCCUGUCGCCCAGUCCCCUAGUCUCCCAGUGUCUGUGUCCCCAUUUCUCCCAGUGUCCCAAUGUCUCAGUGUGUCCC